rnacentral:rRNA from 1 species
CUACGGGGGGCUGCAGUGAGGAAUAUUCGUCAAUGGGCGCGAGCCUGAACCAGCCAUCCCGCGUGCAGGAUGACGGCCCUAUGGGUUGUAAACUGCUUUUCUAUGCCAAGAAACCUGAUUACGUGUAAUCAGUUGCCGGUAGCAUAGGAAUAAGCAUCGGCUAACUCCGUGCCAGCAGCCGCGGUGAAUACGGAGGAUGCAAGCGUUAUCCGGAUUCAUUGGGUUUAAAGGGUGCGCAGGUGGGCUUGUAAGUCAGUGGUGAAAUGCUGCCGCUUAACGGUAGAACUGCCAUUGAUACUGCGAGUCUUGAGUAUGGUUGAGGUAGGCGGAAUGUGUUGUGUAGCGGUGAAAUGCAUAGAUAUGACACAGAACGCCAAUUGCGAAGGCAGCUUACUAAGCCAUUACUGACGCUGAGGCACGAAAGCGUGGGGAGCGAACAGGAUUAGAUACCCGCGUAGUC